rnacentral:rRNA from 1 species
UACGGGGGGAGCAAGCGUUGUUCGGAUUUACUGGGCGUAAAGGGCGCGUAGGCGGCCAGCGCAAGUCAGUUGUGAAAUCUCCGGGCUUAACUCGGAACGGUCAACUGAUACUGCGCGGCUAGAGUGCGGAAGGGGCAACUGGAAUUCUCGGUGUAGCGGUGAAAUGCGUAGAUAUCGAGAUGAACACCUGCGGCGAAGGCGGGUUGCUGGGCUGACACUGACGCUGAUGCGCGAAAGCCAGGGGAGCGAACGGG